AUUGAACGCUGGCGGCGUGCCUAACACAUGCAAGUCGAGCGGUAACAGGUGUAGCAAUACAUGCUGACGAGCGGCGGACGGGUGAGUAACGCUUGGGAAUCUGCCUAUUAGUGGGGGACAACCCGGGGAACUCGGGCUAAUACCGCAUACGCACUACGGUGGAAAGCCGGGGACCGCAAGGCCUGGCGCUAACAGAUGAGCCCAAGUCGGAUUAGCUAGUUGGUAGGUAACGGCCACCAAGGCGACGAUCCGUAACUGGUCUGAGAGGACGACCAGUCACACCGGAACUGAGACACGGUCCGGACUCCUACGGGAGGCAGCAGUGGGGAAUAUUGGACAAUGGGCGAAAGCCUGAUCCAGCGACGCCGCGUGGGUGAAGAAGGCCUGC
rnacentral:rRNA from 1 species